rnacentral:hammerhead_ribozyme from 1 species
AUCCAGCUGACGAGUUCCAAAAUAGGACGAACCGCGCGCCCUGGAU